rnacentral:rRNA from 1 species
AGAUUGAACGCUGGCGGCAGGCCUAACACAUGCAAGUCGAGCGGUAGAGAGGUGCUUGCACCUCUUGAGAGCGGCGGACGGGUGAGUAAUGCCUAGGAAUCUGCCUAGUGGUGGGGGAUAACGUUCGGAAACGGACGCUAAUACCGCAUACGUCCUACGGGAGAAAGCGGGGGACCUUCGGGCCUCGCGCCAUUAGAUGAGCCUAGGUCGGAUUAGCUAGUUGGUGAGGUAAUGGCUCACCAAGGCGACGAUCCGUAACUGGUCUGAGAGGAUGAUCAGUCACACUGGAACUGAGACACGGUCCAGACUCCUACGGAGGCAGCAGUGGGGAAUAUUGGACAAUGGGCGAAAGCCUGAUCCAGCCAUGCCGCGUGUGUGAAGAAGGUCUUCGGAUUGAAAGCACGUUUAAGUGGAGAGGUUAGUAACUUAAUACGUUGACAACUUUGACGUUACCGACAGAAAUAGCACCGGCUAACUUCGUGCCAGCAGCCGUACG